ACCAAACUCCAGUCUGGCCGCCACCUGGCCCGGGGCUGGCCUGGCCUGGCUGCUUCCUGACAGCUCCCAAGAUCUGGGGUCGGAGGCCCAGGGCAACUGGGGUCUGCCAGGGACCCCACCUCCCACCUGAGAGGACCGCUCUCUGCCCAGAGCUGGGAUCUGACACCUGUGGUCCUGGCUGCACAAAGCAGGCUGGAGACAGAAGAAUGGAUGUGUAAUUAAGUUUCAAAUCGACUAUUGUUUUAUGUGAAUAUCUGAUAAGGAAAGCACAAAGGCUGCCAGAUGGGAGCUGGGAGUGAGAUUUCCCACAGUGGAGAAUUCUAGAAGACAUACCUGGAGUUCUGGAGCCUGGAUCCUACUAGUAGGCGGCCAGCAAGGCGAGACUUGACCUUCCCCAUGGAGAAAACAAGCCUGACCCAGAGGCGACGGUUCACCUCCUUCCAGGUGGAGACUCCUGUGUCUGCAGCCCUGAGCCCCCAUCCCCAACACCUGGACUGCUGGUCCACGUCCUGCCUCCAGCGCCAGCUCAGCUAAGCCGUUCCUCUCACCUGAGUUACUGCAAAGGCCUCUUGGCUACUCCCAGCAUCCACUCUGGCCCUCCCCAAAUCUGUUCUCCAUUAAUGUAGAAGAAUCUUUCCCCGUGAAAAUCUGAUGGUGUCAUCCUAGUGCUAGAAUCUCCACGUGCCCCUCUCCCUGCCCAAGACUGUGGUUUGACCCCCACCUCCCUCCCCAGGGUGUCAUCUCACUCCCUUCCCCCAACACCCGGGAGAUCUUUUAGUCCCUGGCCUUGCUGAGCACCCUUCCCCAGCCCUCCACCCACACAGCCCUCUCUUCCCCAGAGCCUGACCAGCUUCUCUUCAUCCAAAAUCACGCCUCUCACGUUGAUAAUGGGGCAAAGUCAUGCAUAUGUGAACACGAGGAGCAUCUGGGAACUCUCUGCCCUUCCGCCCCAUUUUGCUGUGAACCUAAAACUACUCUAAAAUAAAUACAG